UCAUCUCACCGGAACCUUGCCCCGCGGCAGCCCUGGAAUACCACCGUCCGGAAACUUCCCGGCUACCUCCCGCAGCGCCGGCGCGAGGACCUGGGCGACGGGGCGGGGCGAGGUCCUGUAGGCAACCCCCGGCUGUGCUUGGUCGUAGCGGUAGCGAGAGGGAGCCGCGGGCGCGAGGACAUGGGUCAGGAGCUGGCCGAAGACGCCGGUGUGAGGACCUUGGCUUGGGGCCGCUCCCCCACGGCCCUGCCGACGCCGGCGUGAGUUCCUGGAGUCGAAGCCCCGGCUGGGCUUGGCGUAGUGGUCGACCAACGAAGCAAGGUUGGCAAAAAAGGAGCAUUUCAAAGCUUGGCAUUAUCUCAGCAUAGUCACAACGUAGGGGGAGCACGUCGUUAGCAACUUUGAAGGCCACGUUGUUGCAAUCUUCCAAAUGUGCUAGCAGCAAAAAAAGGAUGAGUAAAUUACAGGCAAGCAGGAACCAGCAGCUGCUUCUUCCAUCAAUUCUUCAAUCUUUGCUCCAUAUUUUUGCUCAGAACUAUCCAUCAGUUCCUAGUUUGCAUAGAGGCUGAACUUCUUGUUUCAAAUACUUGGAGACGCUUUUGAUCCAGUGGCAACUUGCAGGCAUAAAUAAUGUACGUUAUAAUGUCACUGAAGGGAGUUUCACAGUUCUUAUUGUAUGUCAUGGACGCUGUCAGAUUAUGGUCAAUCCAUUUCAUGCAGUUUACUUUCA